rnacentral:misc_RNA from 1 species
UUCCUAAACAUGAGAGUCGU